rnacentral:rRNA from 1 species
CGCUGGCGGCGUGCCUAAUACAUGCAAGUCGAACGGCUUUUCUAUGGAAGCUUGCUUCACUGAGAAGAUAGUGGCGAACGGGUGAGUAACACGUGGGGUAACCUGCCCAUAAGAGGGGGAUAACAUCCGGAAACGGGUGCUAAUACCGCAUAGUUUUCUUGAUCGCAUGAUCGGGAAAGGAAAGACGGCCUUUGUGCUGUCGCUUAUGGAUGGACCCGCGGCGUAUUAGUUAGUUGGUGAGGUAACGGCUCACCAAGACGAUGAUACGUAGCCGACCUGAGAGGGUGAUCGGCCACAUUGGGACUGAGACACGGCCCAAACUCCUACGGGAGGCAGCAGUAGGGAAUCUUCCGCAAUGGACGAAAGUCCGACGGAGCAACGCCGCGUGAGUGAAGAAAGGGUUUUCGGAUCGUAAAACUCUGUUGUCAGAGAAGAACAAGUUGGAGAGUAACUGCUCCAGCCUUGACGGUAUCUGACCAGAAAGCCACGGCUAACUACGUGCCAGCCGCAGC